UGUGCAUACGCUUUAUUCAACCACUUCCUCAACAGUAAAACAAGGAUCAUCCUCUGACAGAUCCAUCUUUGGCCCAGAGCUGGAUUUAGUGUUCUCCGGGGUCAGUUCCAUCAAAGGCAUCAUUCCGGUUUGCUCUGACAACUUCUGUAAGAGACUUUCUUAUGCAAGGGAUUAUACAGGCAGCACAACAUAUCAAUAAUAGGAACACAAGUACUAGGGUCAGAAUUCCAGUAACCACCAUAGAUGUGUACUUGCCAAAAAAGAAAUUCAUCCAAUUUCCCUCGUCUACCCCUGCUUCACCCUUCAUCUCAGCAGAUAGCUUGUCAAGUCUCAAUAGGGCUUAAAAUCAUAUCAUUUCCAUUACAAUCCACCCGUUUUGCUAGAUAUUUCACAUACAUUAUAACACAUCUAUUUUUAUUGGAUUCAGAAAUUUCACACAAAUUCAAACUAAUUCAUGCAUCCCAAAAGAUGGUCUCAUCUAACAUGUGCUCCUCAUAUUUGAAUGAAUCCUCCACCUUGCUCGGCAGUAGGUACUUGUCUCAUUGGUCUGAACUUUGACUCGGUCCGUAGCUCACCAUCUGCUCCGUUGUCCAUCUCUCUAGAGUUCUGGUGAUUAAACCUCUCGCACACGGGACCAAACAACAACCACACAACCCAAACACACUCAUACAGGUGAAAGCAGCCCAUAAUACAGUUCUUGCAACACUUUUCCAUUUCCCAAACAUGAGCUGUGUUAUCAGAAAUGUACGUACAGUAAUGAACCUAAUCAUUCUACUUACACCGCCCUCUUUGCCCGUAACCUAUCGAGAGUCAGUCUAUUUUUCCAGGUCAUGAGGGAGGUGGCGGAUAAUUGGUCAGAGAACCUCUUUACUGCAUCCCCGGUUUCAUUCAUGAAUCUCUGUUGAUUAUAAAAGAUGUCAUUAAUUCAACCCACAUUUUUAUUUAUUGUCAACUACCAAAAUAAUGUAGUGUUAAAGCCUUCACAUAUUUGAUUCAUAACUUUGUAUUCAUCUGGAACUUCCCUGAGGAUGCCAAUAGCAUCCAUCUAGACAAAGCUAUUUCCAUCCUGGUCAAAACUCCUCCUGUGCCUUCUUUAGCCUCCUAUAACUGGUCUCUGAUAACUAAUUCGAACUGGUUGGACCAAUAACCCCAGGGCGCAAGUUCCUAACCACCCUUUGUGGUCAUUUCUGUCGUAUGCGUCCUUUGCUGGUACUAGCCCACCCUUCAUCAGUUAUAGGUGCUAUGAGGUUACACAUUUUCUCCUGUGCUUUCAAACCUAAGUCAGUCACAUUAACGAUUACCUUUCCAGCCAUUAAAAUCAUCUUAUUUCUCGGUGCCCUUCUUGUAUCUAUAACACUGGUGCUCAUCAGGAGUUAAGGUGAACCGAGGUGGUUUGGCUAAGUACUUCAAUCUGGCCAACCCCAAUUCCUGUACAGCUGUCUGCUUCCCCAGGAAAAUGUUUAAUGCUUACCUAAAAUUCUACAUCUUGUUCUUCUUUGACUCCUUAUUCUGUAAGUCACUCAUCAGUGUAUUAUAUAGUUUAUCUUCUACUUCUUCUCAAUGACAACGGUAUCGUAUGAUUAGUACCCGUAGGUGGUGGAUCUGAAUAUAUCAGAAAGAUUAGACUAUGAUGCAGCUCAGAGUUUCUACUCUUCCCAAAAACCGUCAACCCUCUCCUGCCCUUAGUCUCUCUGCUUGGUACCACCCCAUACUCACACCUCUAGGAGCACACACAGUGAUGAACGGUCGGGAUAGGAAAUCUUCGUUAAGGAGGUAACCCCCGGACCUUGUUGGUUCUCGGUUCUUCUCCUAACUCUGUGUGUGAUCAUCAGUGCUCAUAUGUGUACAUACCUUCUUGCAGUGGGUAACGUGGACCCAAGUGACUCUCUCAGCUUUUCUAAUGGCAAAGGCAGUGGUUAACAGCACCUGGUAUGGGCCUUCCCAACGGGACUGCUUCCAGUUUUUUCUCCUCAGGGACUGGAUCCACACCCAGUCUCCUAGUUGGAUUGAGUGAAUCACCUUCUCCUGUAAUUCACCUGUUGGACACAAAAUCUUGGACAUACGGGUUUGGUUAACAAACAGUCUUCUCAUGUGCUCUGCUAGUAUUUCUUCAACUUCUAUGUCUACCUGUUCUGGUCUCUCUAACUCUGGCAUUCUAUAGGCUCUACCUAAUUAGCUAAACUGUCAUCCAUCAUUUAAAAAGAUGGCUCCUAGUAAACCAACUCUAGGGAUCAUAUCUUGACUUAAUAUUUUAGCUACCUUAUCAUGUCCACCAAGUAAGUUGGGAACGCUUCUACCCAUUUGCUAUACUUCUCUAUUCUUGUUAAACACCCCUUCUUCCCCUUAAUUCGGAAUAGUUCAAUAAGUCCAUUUCCAAAUGUUGGAAUGGAAAUUCUACAAAAAUGUUUUUGUUCUAGUAGCAUCCUAUCCUGUUCUAUCGCCUGCUCUACCAUACUCCCCCUUUUUUAUACAUGGCUCAAGCCAUGUAUCAAUUUUGCUGCAUUACUAAACAGUGUCUUUGGUAAGGUUAGUAAUUUAUCCUUAUGUCAGCCCUUCUCUUGUAGGAUUGCCCUCUUUCAUUUUCCACAUGUCCAAUUCUCCCUGGGGCAUUCAUCCUUAGCUACCCUGUCACAAUUCUCUAUCAAGUGUCUUAAGAUGUAUCUGUGCUGCUUUGUGUGGUUUUAAAUGCCUAUGUGCUUGUCUGUGUAAAUAGUAAUAUCUCUCCUUAUAGAAUUUACCAAACAUAAACUUAAAAUCAAAACUAAAAUACAUGCCAAUGGAGCUGAUAGGAUAUUAAUACAUGGAGGGACUAUCUAAACGAACCUAACUAAAUGAUCAUUCUAUCUUCUAUUCUUAUGUCUUUUCUGUCUCUCCCAGUGUCAUUUCUGUCCUCACCUGUUUAUAAUUUAACUAUGCUGGUCGUCACUCACUAACCGUUAUCUAAUUCUUCUAUGUCACUUUUAUCUUCUCUUCCUUGCUUAUGCUCUCCUCCUACAUCCAACCCAUCAAGGUCUCAGCAGUGCAGGGGAGUACUAAAUGUCUCAUUGUCUUAUUACAUAGCUACUUAAAUUUAUCUCGAUACCCUCAAUAAUCCUGGAUCACCUACAGAUGUCAUAUUUCCCUGUCCUGUUGACUUAAGUCUACCAUUAUUAACCUUAUUUAACAACAAAAUAUAAUAUUACUAUUAUAUUAAUUCCACAGUCUUGUGUUAAAUCUCUUCCACUGAAUACAACCACAGCUGACUUCCUAAGGGAAAAUAAACGUAUCUAGAUAAUGUAAAAAGUACUCCUGCUUAUUAAUCUGAACUACUCCACAAAGAAAAUGUAUUAUACCCUUGUUGUCAUUCUGUCUUUUCAUUGGUUAAAAUUAUCACUUGUGUCUAUGAACUUAUGCAAGUAACCAUUUCGGGUGCGAUCGUAAAUUCAUUCUGUCUAUGUACUCCGAUUUCAAAGCACUCUCGUCUGAGUGUGCAGAAUAACUGAUAAAUUUACGAACGCUCAACACCCAUUGAAUAUGGCAGUUGUCAGUAAACAUAGGAAAAAAAGCACAAUUACAGUCACCAACGCUUUGGAUAACAUGAAAACAGCCUAAACAGCUCUGCUAGGAUGAGUAAAAUGGUCAGAGUGGGGUGUUUAGUUGGCAUUCUCUCAACCACCUUCGCCUGGAAUGCUUUUCCAACAGUCUUGAAGGAGUUCCCACAUAUGCUGAGCACUUGUUGGCUACAUUUCCUUUACUCUGCGGACCAACUCAUCCCAAACCAUCUCAAUUGGGUUGAUGUUCGGUGAUUAUGGAGGCCAGGUCAUCUGAUGCAGCACUCCAUCACUCUCCUUCUUGGUCAAAUAGCCCUUACACAGCCUGGAGGUGAAUUGGGUCGUUGUCCUUUUGAAAAACAAAUGACAGUCCCACUAAGUGCAAACCAGAUGGGAUGGCAUAUCGCUGCAGAAUGCUGUGGUAGCCAUGCUGGUUAAGUGUGCCUUGAAUUCUAAGUAAAUCACAGACAGUGUCACCAGCAAAACACCAUCACACCUCCUCCUCCAUGCUUCACCGUGGGAACCACACAUGCGGAGAUCAUCCAUUCACCUAUUCUGCAUCUCACAAAGACAUGGCGGUUGGAAUUAAAAAUCUCAAAUUUGGAUUCAUUAGACCAGGGGAGAGAUUUCCAACGGUCUAAUGUCCAUUGCUCAUGUUUCUUGGCCCAAGCAAGUCUCUUAUUAUUAUGUGUCCUUUAGUAGUGGUUUCUUUGCAGCAAUUUGUCCAUAAAGGCCUGAUUCACACAGUCUCCUCUAAACAGUUGAUGUUGAGAUGUGUCUGUUACUUGAACUAUGUGAAGCAUUUAUUUGGGAUGCAAUCUAAGGUGCAGUUAACUCUAAUGAACUUAUCCUCUGCAGCAGAGGUAACUCUGGGUCUUCCUUUCCUGUGGCAGUCCUCAUGAGAGCCAGUUUCAUCAUAGUGCUUGAUGGUCAUAGCGCUUGAUCGCACAACAUUUUUCAGAAUGACUGACCUUCAUGUCUUAAAGUAAUGAACUGUCAUUUCUCUUUACUUAUUUGAGCUGUUCUUGCCAUAAUAUGGACUUGGUCUUUUACCAAAUAGGGCUAUCUUCUGUAUAACAACC
rnacentral:lncRNA from 1 species